UUUUAGCAGGGAAGAAGCGAAAGUGACGGUACCUGCAGAAAAAGCGCCGGCUAACUACGUGCCAGCAGCCGCGGUAAUACGUAGGGCGCAAGCGUUAUCCGGAAUUAUUGGGCGUAAAGAGCUCGUAGGCGGUUUGUCGCGUCUGCUGUGAAAUCCGGAGGCUCAACCUCCGGCCUGCAGUGGGUACGGGCAGACUAGAGUGCGGUAGGGGAGAUUGGAAUUCCUGGUGUAGCGGUGGAAUGCGCAGAUAUCAGGAGGAACACCGAUGGCGAAGGCAGAUCUCUGGGCCGUAACUGACGCUGAGGAGCGAAAGGGUGGGGAGCAAACAGGCUUAGAUACCCUGGUAGUCCACCCCGUAAACGUUGGGAACUAGUUGUGGGGUCCAUUCCACGGAUUCCGUGACGCAGCUAACGCAUUAAGUUCCCCGCCUGGGGAGUACGGCCGCAAGGCUAAAACUCAAAGGAAUUGACGGGGACCCGCACAAGCGGCGGAGCAUGCGGAUUAAUUCGAUGCAACGCGAAGAACCUUACCAAGGCUUGACAUAUACGAGAACGGGCCAGAAAUGGUCAACUCUUUGGACACUCGUAAACAGGUGGUGCAUGGUUGUCGUCAGCUCGUGUCGUGAGAUGUUGGGUUAAGUCCCGCAACGAGCGCAACCCUCGUUCUAUGUUGCCAGCACGUAAUGGUGGGAACUCAUGGGAUACUGCCGGGGUCAACUCGGAGGAAGGUGGGGAUGACGUCAAAUCAUCAUGCCCCUUAUGUCUUGGGCUUCACGCAUGCUACAAUGGCCGGUACAAAGGGCUGCAAUACCGCGAGGUGGAGCGAAUCCCAAAAAGCCGGUCCCAGUUCGGAUUGAGGUCUGCAACUCGACCUCAUGAAGUCGGAGUCGCUAGUAAUCGCAGAUCAGCAACGCUGCGGUGAAUACGUUCCCGGGUCUUGUACACACCGCCCGUCAAGUCAUGAAAGUCGGUAACACCUGAAGCCGGUGGCCUAACCCU
rnacentral:rRNA from 1 species